UACGGGGGGGGCAAGCGUUGUUCGGAAUUACUGGGCGUAAAGGGCCAGUAGGCGGCCAACUAAGUCGGAUGUGAAAUCCCCAGGCUCAACCUGGGAACUGCAUCCGAUACUGGAUGGCUUGAAUUCGGGAGAGGGAUGCAGAAUUCCAGGUGUAGCGGUGAAAUGCGUAGAUAUCUGGAGGAAUACCGGUGGCGAAGGCGGCAUCCUGGACCGACAUUGACGCUGAGGCGCGAAGGCUAGGGGAGCGAACGGG
rnacentral:rRNA from 1 species